UCUGGCAGCGUUUCUCCAUCCCUGCGCCACUCAUAAAAGCUCUUUGCAGACCAUACAUUGAAGAACUGUCUGGGUCACCGCAUUUGCUUCCUCUCUGAGGAGUCACUGGUCUUCUUUGAUGUCCUGUGUGCCGAGCUGUCUUGGAAACGCUUCACAUAAGGUGCCACUGCAUUUUGAAAGUUUGUGUUAAGCCACUCGCUUUCACAAAAGACCUACACUAGGAAAGAAAUUUGAAGAGGAUUUUCACUUUUAGGACAAAAUGCUAAAAGUACUUCUUUUUGGAGCAAACACCCGCAGCGAGAGCAGCAACGCCAAGCUCCUGCCUGGGGCUACAGUGGACAUCAUGCUGCCAUGACUUUGAACUCUCUUCCUGCAUCUCCUACCACCCCAAUCUCCAAGGAACCAGCUUAACCCACCAUCACUGCUACCUCAGUCUUCCCGUGUGCUCGCUGCCUUCCUGCUUCUGAUUCCCUCGACUGGAAGUAUCUGUGAGGAAAGACCAGCUCUGGAAUUUGGUAAGGGUGGCAUCUGGAAAGUGAAGCACGGAUGACCCCAGAGUCAGAGGAAGCCAGAAUGUGGAUCUCUCAUUGGGAAUGGCACGGAUGACGUCUAGGCUACCACCUUACACAGUGGGCAGAGCUGCAUGCACGAAGAUAUACUGCCAAGAUGUUCAUUGCAGCACUGUUUGCAAUACCAAAUGAUCCAA